UACGUAGGGGGCGAGCGUUGUCCGGAAUUACUGGGCGUAGAGGGUGCGUAGGCGGCCUGAUAAGUCAGGUGUGAAAUACCAGGGCUCAACUCUGGGGGUGCACUUGAAACUGUCGGGCUUGAGUGCAGGAGAGGAAAGCGGAAUUCCUAGUGUAGCGGUGAAAUGCGUAGAUAUUAGGAGGAACACCAGUGGCGAAGGCGGCUUUCUGGACCGUAACUGACGCUGAGGCACGAAAGCGUGGGUAGCGAACAGG
rnacentral:rRNA from 1 species